AUGCAUCCACUUCUUUGGCUACAUAGUACAUACUUAUUCGAACACGUGAGAAAUAUCACAUAUAAAAAGCGAUAAAACAACUCUGUAGCUGAAUAUGAACAGGUAGUACGAGCUGAGAUGUCAUAACAUAAGUUUACGCCAAUUAUUUUUCGGCCAAGUUUCGUUCGCGAAUGCAUGUCUUUCUCUAUAGUAACGAUUGCGUUUCAAAAUGAAGUCCAACUGUUACUGCAGUUUUCCGAUUGAUUCAGUUUGUGCAACAGCUGUACUUUAUACCACUGUUGUGAUAAAUACUGUACUAAUGUGCUUUGUUUUACAAUGGGAUUUGCAAGGCAACGAAUUAAUUUUCGGUGAUGAUUUUAUAACGGAGAUAUUACUCAUUCUAUCGGAAUCGAUCCUAUUGCUAUUCGCCGCUGUUGUCUGUUUCAAACAUUAUACCACCGUUGGGAAGAUGAUUUCACAAUUCUGUGUAUUCGUAGCAGUCAUCGAAUUGCUACUUUUCGAUCUAAGUAGCACUUUUAAAAUCGCACUCAAUUUACUCGUUGACCGAAAAUUGGAUAGAAUUUGGGACAGAAGAGAACCUACUACUACUGCGAUUGCACCCCAUUCUGUGUAUUUUUUCGUAUUCUUCGUGUUACUUUGCUAUUUCGUUUUCAAAUUAUACACCGCCAUUGUAAUAUUGGAAUUUGGAAUUGUGGGCUCGUGCAGGAGUACUACAAAUGAAGACGAUAUCGAAGAUAAUUCUUCUAGUGAGCGAGUAACUGUUGCACUUACUCCUCUUCCUACUCGUCCUCUUCGUCUUUCUCGCCUCGCUUUUCCUCCUCCGAGCCCCCUUCCUCCUAGCCCGCCUCCCCCAUACUCUGAAAAUGUAAUAGAUGUGGAAAUUCCUCUUACUAUGAGUCCCACUCCUCCUAGACCCCCUCCUCCAUAUUUUGAAUGUGUAACAGAUAGGGAAAACCCACCUCCAUAUUCGUCGUUAUUAGCAAACACCUUAAGAAUUCAAAAUUUAUAGAAAAUUGUGUUUUAUGAUUUUUUUUUGAUGCCUAAAGUUUAACGAGGGAAUAGGAAAACGUCGGAAAAAAGGCUAAAGAAAGGAGUGACAUGCUUAAAAAUUUAAUUUUCCGUGAUUUAAAAUUUUAAAAGAACUAAGAAGUACAGGAUGUCCAAAAAAACUUUCAUACAAAAAAUCAUGACCUUUUUCAUGACCUAUUUUUCACAUUUUCACCGCAUAAAAAUACCCCCCCCCCCCCAAACAAAAAAAUGAAUUGAACAAACUUUUCAUUUGUUUAUUUUUUUUCAUUUUAUGGGCUUUUAAAAAAAUGUUCAAGUGCGUUUCGAGCAAAAUUCAUGACUCCUGAAGUACCAUCGACAAAACUGUUGGCGCUGAUUUGAAAAAUAUGGGGUUUAAAAUAAACCCUCCUUACCCCACCCACUUUUUGGGCAAAUAAGUAAAAAAAUUUCGAAAUCAUGACACAUAUCAACUAGGUAGUGAAUUUACGAAGAUACUGAUUACAAAAAUAUGACCUUAUUUUUUUGAUUCGACCCCUCCCACGCUCCUAUACCCCUUUAAUUGGGGUAAAAACCUGAAUAAUACUCAUGAAUCAUGAUCAUGAAAUCAUGCAAUGUACCUAUUGAAGCGAUAGGUAGUCUUGAACAUAAAAAGAUAGCCUCAUUUUAUCAAUUUUAUGCCUCUCACUCACCCCCCCCCCCUUUGAUGGCCCUUUCAUUCGGGUUGAUGUCCUAAAAAAAAAGUGAAAAAGCCAUGUGACUUAUCGAAUAGUAUGUUUUUCGAAAUUCAAAAUACAAAUACAACAUUGUCGUUUCAAUGUGACUCCCCCCCCCCACGGGAUGACCCUUCCAUUCGGAUUGAUAUUCAGAAAACUUUUAAAGUCAUGCGACAUAUCGAAUGGUAUAUUUUUAGAGUGGCCAAAAUCGAAUAUGGCCUUAUUUUUUUGAUCUGACCCCUCCCACGCCCUUCACCUCCUUCAUUCGGGCCAAUUUUCAAAAAAAAUGAAAAAUUCAUGCGACAUAUCGAAUAGUAUGUUUUUGAAGGUGUCAAAUUCGAAUAUGGCCUUAUUUUUUUGAUCUGACCCCCCCCCACGCCCUUCACCCCCCUCAUUCGGGUCAAUUUUCAAAAAAAAAAAAAAAAAUGAAAAAAUAAUGCGAUAUAUUGAUUCGCAUGUUUUUGAAGGUCCUGAAUACAAAUACGACCUCAUUUUUUCGAUCUGAGCUCCCCCCCAUACCCCCUCCAUUCGGGUUGAUAAUCAAAAAAAUGAAAAAGUCAUGCGACAUAUCGAAUAGUAUGUUUUUGAAGGUGACAAAAUCGAAUAUGGCCUUAUUUUUUUGAUCUGACCCCUCCCAUGCCCUUUACUCCCUUCAUUCGGGCCAAUUUUCAAAAAAAAAAAAUGAAAAAGUAAUGCGAUAUAUUGAAUAUUGUAUGUUUUUGAAGUGCUGAAGACGAAUAUGUUCUAAUUUUUUUGAUUCAACUCUUUCCAACUCCUGAGCUCUCAUUGGAAGACACAAAAUGAAGGCAUAAACUCAAGGCACAUUCAUGUUCAGGGUCUUAUGAGAUGUUUUUUAAAACGACAACUUCAAUUACUUAUUUUCAUAUAAACUGAAUUUCACUGACACCUCUAUCAAUAUGUAUAAGCGAGUACAAAAUUUAAACACUUGAGGAAACCUGCCCCUUCAAAUACCUACUUAUCUCUAUCUCUGUUUAACUUUAUAAGGCUCAUGCUCGUCUAAGAAAAGAUAAACGAAUUAAGAGGUUUAUUAAUUGGCGCGAUAUUUUAUCGCGACGGGAGGUAACAACUCGCCCAAUUCUGCCAGCAUGUGUUGAUGCUUGUGUAGGAAAAACCAACACUCGAUAGAUUUUAUUUUUGUAAAUGUUUUUCAACACGGUUCACGCUAAUAACGAUGUUAUACACUCUUCUUGCGAUUUGUCUGGUGAGUAAGUGUUUAACAGUGGCGUUGAAAAGAUGUGGGCCGGCUACUUUGUGCAUUCAAUUUCGACAACGUGCGUGAUUAUGCUUUGCAUUACUGUGGUUCUGAAUUGCUUAAACUUGACACUCGUAUCAUUAAGUUACAAUAGAGCAGCAAAUAAAAUACUUUCAGGCGAUGAUUUCAAAAUGGAAAAGAGCCUAAUUCUAUUCCAAACGAUUCUGUCGAUAUUGGCAAUUAAGCUCGUUAAACAAUACACCUCUACUAUAAUGAUCUUGCUCAAGUUUUGGACUUUUGGUCUCACUAUUCUGACUCUGCUCCUCGACUUGAUAUUCACUGCUUUGAUCACAGACGAUGUACUCAGCAAACAAAAAUUGGAAAAGGUUUGGAAAAUGAAAACCUGCAGUGGCUCAUGUAGGAUGAAUACAACACCCCUUAAUUCUUUCUAUCAUCUCGCUAGCGCCGUAUUAUUUUUCUAUUUUGUUUUCAAACUAAGUGUGACCAUUAUAAUGGUGCGUUUGGGAGGUACUUUCGUCAAAGAAAUACGACAACGAGUAUCGAGUGAUGUACAUCUGAUAAAUGACGAUGAUGUCGAUGUCGAACAACAUGCUCCUUGUGGGCAAACCACUCCGUCAGCACCUCCUCCAUCGUACGAUCAAUGUGUAAUGGAAUCAGCGAUGCCACCUCCUUAUAGUGUUAUUGCUGAGAAAAUUUAUAACGAUGAGAGACAAAAAUUUGAGUCAAUAUCGUCGAAUUUAAGUAAAUGAUUACCUAUUUUAAAUACCUACUUUACGUUUAAUACGUUUAGUUCCUUUUUUUAUUACCUGAAUGGAUAUUUAAAUCGUUCAUAAUGAAUUUUCACCUCGUUAUUGUUUCGAUUGUUGUUAUUGUUUGUAUGUGAUAUUUUUUUUUUUUACAAAGUUACCUAUUUUAAUAAACAUUUUUUUUUUCGA